rnacentral:tRNA from 1 species
UGGCCGUUCGUCUAAUGGUAGGACCUCACCCUUUGAAGGUGAAGAUCUUGGUUCGAAUCCAAGGUGGCCAG